UGAAGAGAUCCUUGAUGUUGCCGAUCGUCAAGAUAAUGAUACGCGUCGUCCGAAUCGCCAACGGUCGACCGCAGGAAACGAUUAACGUCAACCUGCGCGCUUGAGUACAAUAAGGGCAUUCGUUGUUAUUGAUGCCCGGAGUUAACGCUUCAUGAAAUUACCGAUUUAUCUUGAUUACUC
rnacentral:sRNA from 1 species